rnacentral:rRNA from 1 species
AUUGAACGCUGGCGGCAUGCCUUACACAUGCAAGUCGAACGGUAACGGGUCCUUCGGGAUGCCGACGAGUGGCGAACGGGUGAGUAAUAUAUCGGAACGUGCCCAGUAGUGGGGGAUAACUACUCGAAAGAGUGGCUAAUACCGCAUGAGAUCUACGGAUGAAAGCAGGGGAUCGCAAGACCUUGUGCUACUAGAGCGGCCGAUGGCAGAUUAGGUAGGUGGUGGGAUAAAAGCUUACCAAGCCGACGAUCUGUAGCUGGUCUGAGAGGACGAUCAGCCACACUGGGACUGAGACACGGCCCAGACUCCUACGGGAGGCAGCAGUGGGGAAUUUUGGACAAUGGGCGCAAGCCUGAUCCAGCAAUGCCGCGUGCAGGAUGAAGGCCUUCGGGUUGUAAACUGCUUUUGUACGGAACGAAAAGCCCUGGGUUAAUACCCUGGGGUCAUGACGGUACCGUAAGAAUAAGCACCGGCUAACUACAUGCCAGCCGCCGCCGUAA